UGUGUCUGUCCAACACUAAUCUGGCAGGCAGAGCUCGUGGAUUUAUGGCAAGCAAACCCCCACCUCUCACUGACCAGAGGCAGAAGGAGGGUUUUAUCUUUUUGGAGGUCUCCAUCACAUAUUUUUACUCCUAUAAAUGCAAAAUCCUGAGAAGUGAUGGCAGGAGGAGCGAGACGGCGUCAGCAUCUCCGAGGGAAUGAGCUGAGUAAAUCAGGCAGCUGCUAAGGAUUCUAAUCCCUAACUAGCGCUGGUGAAAGGUGUUGGAUUGACAGCCCUGGAAAUAUAAGUCCUCAAGGAACAAUGUUUUGGAGUUGUGAAGGGAACAACACUGUGUGCAACCGAGAUGUAAAGUGCCUCUUUCAGCAGCCUGGGGGACUGAGUAAACGGAACAACAAAAUGACAAGGAAGGCAAUAAACCCAAAUAAAUAACAAAUUGAUCAAACUGCAGGGGAAGGAGAUUAAAAAAAACCCCGACAGCAUUCCCCUUGUGGUGUGGAGAGGCUGAAAAUGUGGGACAGACGGGAAGGGGACGUGGAGCUCCCCUGAUGGAUGCCAGCAGUGUGCUGGGAGAGAUACGAGCCCAGAUGUCUGGGAAAAGGCCUUCAAUCCUCCUUUUCUGAGCCCAGGCAUUUGGGGAUAAAUCCUUCCUGGAGCAGCAGUGAGAUUUGCUUCUAUUAAGGUGAAACCCACUUGGGAUGGGACAUUCUGCAUCCUGUGCUGCUGUUUCCAUCCCUUUCACUCUUCUUUUAGUGCUCCUCAUCACAUUUUUUGUCCCCCAA